rnacentral:tRNA from 1 species
GUUCUUAUAGUUUAAUUACAACGAUGGUUUUUCAUAUCAUAGGUCAUGGUUAAAUUCCAUGUAAGAAUA